GACAGAGGGUGCAAACGUUGUUCGGAUUUACUGGGCGUAAAGCGCGCGUAGGCGGCUUUGUAAGUUAGAGGUGAAAGCCCGGAGCUCAACUCCGGAACUGCCUUUAAGACUGCAUCGCUAGAACGAUGGAGAGGUAAGUGGAAUUCCGAGUGUAGAGGUGAAAUUCGUAGAUAUUCGGAAGAACACCAGUGGCGAAGGCGACUUACUGGACAUCUGUUGACGCUGAGGUGCGAAAGCGUGGGGAGCAAACAGG
rnacentral:rRNA from 1 species